AGUGAACGUUGGCGGCAGGCCUAAUACAUGCAAGUCGAACGGCAGCACAGUAAGAGCUCGCUCUUAAGGGUGGCGAGUGGCGGACGGGUGAGGAAUACAUCGGCAUCUACUUUUUCGUGGGGAAUAACGUAGGAAAAGUUCUGAUAACACCGCAUACGAUCAACGGGAGAAAGCAGGGGAUCUUCGCACUUUUGCUGAUUCAUUGAGCCGGUGUCGGAUUAGCUAGUUGGCGGGGUAAAGGCACACCAAGGCAACGAUCCGUAGCUGGCCCGAGAGGAUGAUCGGCCACACUGGAACGGAGACACGGUCCAGACUCCUACGGGAGGCAGCAGUAGGGAAUAUUGGACAAUGGGCGCAAGCCUGAUCCAGCCAGACCGCGUGGGUGAAGAAGGUCUUCGGGUUGUAAAGCCCUUUUGUUGGGAAAGAAAAGCAGCAGGUUAAAACAUCGCUGUUCUGACGGUACCCAAAGAAAAAGCACCGGCUAACUUCGUG
rnacentral:rRNA from 1 species